AAACUUUCAACAACGGAUCUCUUGGUUCCAGCAUCGAUGAAGAACGCAGCGAAAUGCGAUAGCUAGUGUGAAUUGCAGAUUUAUGUGAAUCAUCGAGUCUUUGAACGCACAUUGCGCCCCUUGGCUUGCCAGGGGGCAUGUCUAUCUGAGCGUCGUUA
rnacentral:rRNA from 2 species